GUAUGUGAUCGUCUCUCGCAUAUCAAUAAGCGGAGGAAAAGAAACUAACAAGGAUUCCCCUAGUAACGGCGAGUGAAGCGGGAAGAGCUCAAAUUUGAAAUCUUAAAGGGUUUCCCUUUACGAAUUGUAGUUUAAAGAAGUGUUUUCUGUUGAGGUUUUGGUAAAAGUUCUUUGGAAUAGGACAUCAUAGAGGGUGAGAAUCCCGUAUUUGACCUUUACUUUCAACUUUGUGAUACACUUUCAAAGAGUCGGAUUGUUUGGGAAUGCAGUCCAAAAUGGGUGGUAAAUUUCAUCUAAAGCUAAAUAUUGGCGAGAGACCGAUAGCGAACAAGUACCGUGAGGGAAAGAUGAAAAGAACUUUGAAAAGAGAGUUAAACAGUACGUGAAAUUGUCAAAAGGGAAGCGUUUGACACCAGUGUUGUUUUUCUGAAAAUCAAUUAAAGAACUGUUUAUGCUAAGCUGUUUAGACUUUAUCAGCUAAUCUGUUUAGUUUUGAGCUUUUCUUUAAUGCACUUUUCAGUUAACAAGUCAACAUCAAUUUCUUUUGCUGUAAAAAAGCUUGAGGAAGGUGGCUUGAGAUUCGUCUUAAGUGUUUAUAGCCUCUUGCCUAUGCAGUCGGAGAGAUUGAGGUCUGCAGCGUAGAUCCUUCGGGGCUAAAUGCAUUUGUGCUAAGUUAUAACAUUUUAUAGACAACUUGUUGACUAUGAUUUGUCUUGUAGCUUACUCGCUUAUGUUAUUUUACCUACGCUUAGGAUGUUGAGCGCAUGUCUCUCUCU
rnacentral:rRNA from 1 species